rnacentral:lncRNA from 1 species
UUAUACAGGAACUCAGUGACACAUAAUCCACAGAAGAUCCCUGGAUGACCUCAGUUUUCUUGGGACUGUCCCAUACUUUUACAUGGAACAGAAACAUGAUGGUAUUAAAGGUGGCCAUUGGCACCUUUCCUUCCAAAACGUCCAGCUGAGAGGCCCAGGAGUCCGGACUGACAAUAACAAUAAAAUACACAGAAAAGGAUCCAGUUGGUGCCCUGUCCAGGCAGGAGGAGAAAUAAAGCCAGUGUCGUCUCUUUCCUUUGGGAUAUGUUACAUAGCCCCUAAAUUCUGUAUCUUUUCCGCUUACACAUUUUUUUGUCCCCUAGCUCAACCAUAAUUUAAUUUAAAAAUUUUUAUGUAAACACUCCAUCUCUAAAAGCUAGCCUCUCAUUUGUGAAAUAAUUCCAGCCAUUCCUUCAAAAAUGAUGAAUGAUGGA